GAUGAAGAACGUAGCGAAAUGCGAUAAGUAAUGUGAAUUGCAGAAUUCAGUGAAUCAUCGAAUCUUUGAACGCACAUUGCGCCCGCCAGUAUUCUGGCGGGCAUGCCUGUUCGAGCGUCAUUUCAACCAUCAAGCCCCCCGGCUUGUGUUGGGGACCUGCGGCUGCCGCAGGCCCUGAAAAGCAGUGGCGGGCUCGCUGUCACACCGAGCGUAGUAGAUCUCAUCUCGCUCAGGGCGUGCUGCGGGUUCCGGCCGUUAAACCACCUUCAUAACCCAAGGUUGACCUCGGAUCAGGUAGGAAGACCCGCUGAACUUAAGCAUAUCAAUAAGCGGAGG
rnacentral:misc_RNA from 1 species